rnacentral:rRNA from 1 species
AACGAACGCUGGCGGCAGGCCUAAUACAUGCAAGUCGAGCGCGCCCUUCGGGGUGAGCGGCGGACGGGUGAGUAACGCGUGGGAAUAUGCCCUUCUCUAAGGAAUAGCCUCUGGAAACGGAGAGUAAUACCUUAUACGCCCUUUGGGGGAAAGAUUUAUCGGAGAAGGAUUAGCCCGCGUUAGAUUAGGUAGUUGGUGGGGUAAUGGCCUACCAAGCCUACGAUCUAUAGCUGGUUUGAGAGGAUGAUCAGCCACACUGGGACUGAGACACGGCCCAGACUCCCACGGGAGGCAGCAGUAGGGAAUCUUAGACAAUGGGGGCAACCCUGAUCUAGCCAUGCCGCGUGUGUGAUGAAGGCCCUAGGGUCGUAAAGCACUUUCGCCAGAGAUGAUAAUGACAGUAUCUGGUAAAGAAACCCCGGCUAACUCCGUGCCAGCAGCCGCGGUAAUACGGAGGGGGUUAGCGUUGUUCGGAAUUACUGGGCGUAAAGCGCACGUAGGCGGAUUAGUAAGUUAGAGGUGAAAUCCCAGGGCUCAACCCUGGAACUGCCUUUAAUACUGCUAGUCUUGAGUUCGAGAGAGGUAAGUGGAAUUCCGAGUGUAGAGGUGAAAUUCGUA